CAAAAGCUUGGUCCUCGCUUUUCUAUCAGCUUUGGUUAAACUUAUACAUGCAAGUAUCCGCAUCCCUGUGAGAAUGCCCUACAUUACCCAGACGGAAUAGAGGAGCAGGCAUAAGGCACGACCUACGUCAGCCAGCAAAGCCUUGUUUAGCCACACCCCCAAGGGAACUCAGCAGUAAUAGACAUUAAGCAAUAAGUGUAAACUUGACUUAAUUAAAACCAAUCAGGGCCGGUGAAACUCGUGCCAGCCGCCGCGGUUAUACGAGAGGCCCAAGUUGAUAACCGCCGGCGUAAAAGGUGGAACUACGAAGAAGAAAAAUAAAGCCGAAUGCCCUCAAGACUGUUAUAAGUUUUCGAGGAAUAGAAGCCUACCAACGAAAGUGGCUUUAAAAACUGUAUAAUCCACGAAAGCUAGGGAACAAACUGGGAUUAGAUACCCCACUAUGCCUAGCCAUAAACACAAGUGAAAUCUUCACAACCCCGCUUGCCAGGGGAUUACGAGCGUGAGCUUAAAACCCAAAGGACUUGGCGGUGCUUUAGACCCCCCUAGAGGAGCCUGUUCUAUAACCGAUAAUCCCCGUUAAACCUCACCCUCUCUUGUUCUCCCCGCCUAUAUACCGCCGUCGUCAGCUUACCCUGUGAAGGAUAAAUAGUGGGCUUAAUUGGUACAACCUAAAACGUCAGGUCGAGGUGUAGCGUACGAGAGGGGAAGAAAUGGGCUACAUUUACUGACUCAGUAAAUACGGAAAAUGCUCUGAAAUAAGCAUUUGAAGGAGGAUUUAGCAGUAAGAGGAAAAUAGAGUGUCCCUCUGAAACUGGCCCUGAAGCGCGCACACACCGCCCGUCACCCUCUCCUAAAAAUAUAAACAUAUUAGUAAAUAAACAAACACUAAAAAAUAAGAAGAGGAAAGUCGUAACAUGGUAAGUGUACCGGAAGGUGCCCUUGGAAAAAC
rnacentral:ncRNA from 1 species